UGCCGAAACCCGGGAUCGAACCAGGGACCUUUAGAUAUCCAGUCUAACGCUCUCCAAACUGAGCUAUUUCUGC
rnacentral:tRNA from 1 species